rnacentral:rRNA from 1 species
GACGAACGCUGGCGGCGUGCUUAACACAUGCAAGUCGAACGGUGAUGCUCCAGCUUGCUGGAGUGGAUCAGUGGCGAACGGGUGAGUAACACGUGAGCAACCUGCCCCAGACUCUGGAAUAAGCGCUGGAAACGGCGUCUAAUACUGGAUACGAAACUGGCCCGCAUGGGCAUGGUUUGGAAAGUUUUUCGGUUUGGGAUGGGCUCGCGGCCUAUCAGCUUGUUGGUGAGGUAAUGGCUCACCAAGGCGACGACGGGUAGCCGGCCUGAGAGGGCGACCGGCCGAACUGGGACUGAGACAGGGCCCAGACCCGAGGGGGGGGAAGGAGGGGAAAAUAUGCCCAAGGGGGGGAAAGCGUGAUACGGCGGCCCCGGGGGAGGAAUGAGGGCUUGGGGGUUGAAAACCUCUGCCGGCGGGAAAGAAGGGAAAGGGAGGGUACCUAAAGAAAAAGCCCCGGCAAACUACGUG